AUGGACUACGUUGCCAAAGUUAAUGAUUUACUGGAGAUAUCCAAGACGAUUUCAACAUUACCCUCCAUGGUUGAGCAUCACAUUCAGAAAGGCAGUGUCAGGCAGCCAGGGAGCCAUACAUGGAACCUACUGAGGAUAUUGGUCACAGAAGGCAACUCCGUGAAGGACGCAGCGUCCAAGGCUUAUGCUCAGGUGUUUGCUCCUCACCAUGGCUGGGCCAUAAGGAAAACAGUAUGUGCUAGAAUGUAUGCCCUUCCUUCUAAGUCGCAGCUCUUGAAGAAACUGAAUGAAGAUGACGGUUCUCCUUUUAAACAGGCAAACUUUGAUCUCCGUAAGCAGUAUGGGAUUAAAUAA
rnacentral:rRNA from 1 species